GUUUCUGUAGUUGUAGUGGUUAUCACAUUCGUCUCACACAUGAAAGGUCCCCGGUUCGAAACUGGGCAGAAACA